rnacentral:lncRNA from 1 species
GAGCCGCGCUCGCCCGCCCGCCCCUCGACUCGCGAGGGCGUAAAAGUUUGUCUCAGCUCGAGCAUUCCUAGCGCCAACACGCCCUCAGGUAAAGGUGGAAGUAAAUGGCCACGCUGUAUUGACAGAGCAGGUAGAUGAAACUCAAGAGAAAAGGUGUGGAUAAAUGAAACUAGCCCAUGAUGAACCUGUUUUCUCCGUGACCACAAUAUUAACCAGGAUGAUGGCGG